AUGCUACCCAGAAGAAUAGAUAUGUCAUUGCAAACACGACUUCCAUCAUUCAUUCUUUUUAUGUUCUCAGUAGCGUUUCAUUUUGCAUCAAAGAAUCAACUUGGUCUCAAAAUUUCUCUUACAAUUCCUCAGACACGAAUGCUGACAUACAAUUCCCCGUCGACUCUUCCCUCUGACGGCCCGAGUGUGUGCGCGGGUUGAUCUCACGAUGAAACGCUGCUAUUGUUUCGCUAACAGACUGACAGGAAUCACGAGGAAUGAAGAACGCUGCCGAGAACGAGAAACAACGAGGUUCAUUUACAAGAGGCCGCAACAGCGGGUGUCCUACAAACUGUCCAGGCUUGUUAGCCACAGAAAUGCACUGAAGCUGUGAUUUCUCUCUGUGGUCCUAAACAGGCAUGAAUUUCCGUCCUCACUGAAAUGUAAAAAAAAAUCUGCCGUCAUCAAUAUCAUUUAUUUUCUUAGCACCCCCACAUAUUGGUCUAGCCCCCCCCUUAGCACCAGUAGAGAAAAAAUUCUGGCACCUUGCCUGGUCUCCCCAUAUCACAAUUUUGGAGACGUAUCCUUGUGUCGCGGCUGACACAGAAGAGCGUACGCCGCCUGCGUCCAGCUCAUAUUCAUCAAAAUGGCGCUACGGUGUUGUGAGGAGAGACAGAGGAGAGGAACUGUUGAAUAAAGUCAUUAUUUUUGUUUUCUUUGUGUACAAAAUGUAUUCUCGUCGCUUCAUAAGGUUACGGUUGGCAGAUGGGCUAUUCUGACAAUGUCUUUUAUACUUUUCUAGACCUUGACAGUGUUAUUUACUUGGCAGUCUAUGGGACAGUCACAAGCCUCCCGGUUUUCAUCCAAAAUAUCUUAAAUUGUGUUCCUAAGACGAACUAAGCUUUUACAGGUUUGGAACAACAUAAGGGGGUAAGUGAUUAAUGAAAAAAAAUUCAUUUUGGGGUGGAGUAUCCCUUUAAAGCUAGGUAGCCACUGUGAAAUCUGAUUGGUUCAGAAUUUUGGUCCUCAUAACUAUGCAGUUAUCAUCAAAUAUAUUCUAACUGUCUGUGUGGUAACUGCUUCACACAGCAUUUUUACAUUGUGGACAGACAAACUACCCAUUGCUGA
rnacentral:lncRNA from 1 species